AAAUAGUUGUCUAUCUCUUUAUGACCAUACACUAUGAGACAAAUAUCUCUUCAAAACCAAUGUCUUUAUUUUCCUUACAUCAUUUGAAUAAUUGAAGCCUUAUAUCCCGAUCUUGAGCUACUCUCUUUAGCUUUGAGUCAUCACACCCAAUUGUUUUUCAAGGCUUGUCUCCCUUUUAGUAGCUCGAUGAGAUUAUAUGUAUGAUUCUUAUGCAAUAUAUUGCAUCUCCUCUUGCAUAGUGUUAAUUCAUUCUUUCAUAUCAUUGUUAGCCGUAGCUUCUACAUGGCUUUGAGGUUCUCUUAUUCUUUAAGUGUUGCAUAUUCAUUGAAAAAUAUUUGGUAGAUGGUUGUCUCUGUCUGGUUUACCAUUGUAGUUGAGGUUAACUAAUAUGAUUUUCCAUAAUACUUUGAUGGUUCCUAUACCAAACUACUCAAUUGUGUUUGAACACAUCAUUGACUUCAGUAUGAUCUCUCUUGACAGAUAGCCCCCCUAAAUCAUCAUGGCGUACCAUAGGGGACGACUUCUGAUUACAACUACUGUUUGACCUUUGACUAAGUUUUCUCAUACUGUUUGGAAUAUUUAGCUGCCUGAUCCUAAAAAAUAUAACAUCUCUACUUCUAAAAAUCUUCUUGUUCACAAGGUCCCAAAUCGCUAAUCAAACUUGUAUCUUUGAGAUCCAAGAUAAAUCGACUUUUUGGUCUCUGCAUCGGACACAAAUUAUUCAUAAAAUGGAGGUACUUUUUAUUUACAAGGCGUUAUCAGUUUUUAUUGUCUUUCAUUUUUCCAUCGGUGUUUGAUUCACCAUGUACAACAUUAGCCUCACCUUUGCAUUAUGCAUAAUCUGUCGAGUAAUGGGCCAAGCAACAAACAAUAGAGAAUGAACAUAGCACCAUAUUCUUAACAAAAUCAAUAUGGCUUUUCUAUAUAUGCAUGUUCUCUUCUAUCAUCUUCAUUUAGCUUAUUUUGAACUAAUGUGUACUUUUUCAUCACUCACACUUGACAGACAGUUAGGCUUCCCCCUAGGUUGAAGUCUGAGUACUAUGCUUUCUCUCCAAAAAUUGGGUCAUUACUUAAUAUCUCUCCCUCUGGGUAAAACGUGUUCGAGUACUCAACUUCAUCACUGGAUACCCAGCAGUUAGUUAACAUUAUUUUGUUAAAUAUUGGAUUUAAGAAUUAAAAUUGAAUAAAGUUCAAAUAUAAUCUUAAAAACAUUGUAUUUUUAACCAUCAAAAACUUAAUUAAGUCAAAAAAAUAAAUUAACAAAAAUUCAUUGAAAAAAUUGUAAUAUUUCUUUACACUAGUAUCAAGUAACAUAUUUAUUCUUUGGAGUUUUCAAUCUGAAUACUGUACAUCCAAGAAAUAUACAGACCUCAUGAAGAGCAGGGGCAUCAUUAGUGCCAUCUCCUGUGACGGCAACAACUUCACCUCCUUUUUUCAGUGCUUGCACGAGCAAAAGCUUGUCAUUUGGAGAUGAUCUUCCC
rnacentral:lncRNA from 1 species